UGAACACUUUUACCUUUGUCACUCGAGAAAAUUCCGAUCGAGGCAAAAUGUGAGUAUGAGAGCAAGAAUGAAUGGGAGAAAAUGAAAGGAAUAGAAUGAAAACAGAUAGAGACGAUUGCAUGCAGUUCGAAUAUUUUUAAAAACAAAAGAACUAAAACA